GAUUUGAUUGUUUGUUUUCAAUAUGAAAAGAUAUUUUCACUUUUUUCCUAAAACCUACUUCCACUUUUUUUUGAGAAGUGGUAACGCUGAUUGCAAUGUUCGGAUUCUUUACAUAUCAUAAAAACUUCGAUUCGCGAUCCUCAGCCUGGUUUGCUUAGAAACAAAGUUAUUUCCAACAACAGCGCACAGUGUUCGGGGUAAGUGAUUUUUUUUUGAAAGCAUUGUUGUUUUUUCGAGAAACAGUUUUCCAGUUGAAUUCCAUUGUUCAUAGUGUCAACAAGUGAGUAAAGCUUAAAAUUAUUAAAAAGAGUUUAGAAAAUAAAAUAUAAGUGUAAAAAAGUGAAUAUUUUGGUAAAUUGGUAGAAUUUGUGUUUAAAUGGACAAGGAAAAUAUUCAGGCUUCCGGAUCUAAACAGUCGGCAAUGGACUCCAUUGAAUUUUCACCCACAAAGCAGGCAAGGCGGAUUUUUAAGAAAACGAAUCAACAAGAUAUGAUAGACGAAAUGAGAGCGGACAUUAAACGUUUGUGUGUCACCACGGAGCAGCUGAAAAAUGGGAUCUGCACAUUGGCAUAAUUUUUUUCAAUAAAAUCAUAAAAAUUUACAUGACU